CGCUUUUGCAGUCGCGGUGCGAGGUAACAAAGGUUGAAAUGAAAAAAAUAAUUCCUGGCGUGGAGCGACGGUAGCCGGGCUGGGACCUUCUAAAGCAGCAGGGAGAAGCCCAAUGAGCGCGUAGUGAUGACGCAACACGCAUCCUAGACUUUUCUCUUCGACGACGACGUGAAAGAGGAAAAUGUCUAGGCGCGCGCUGUUGCUAUGGUAACUCGCACCCGCCUCUUUGCCUUGGAAGGGCGUUUGUGGCCUGUUUCUCCAGGACAGCUAUCCUUUCCCACCUUUGGACCUGUUCUCAGGCUGUUGGACUUGGGUCUUGGACUGGAACUACACCCCUGGCUUUCCUGGACCUCCAGCUUGCAGAGGGAUUUAGCUGCAAAUCAGGCCCCUUGGAAAUGAAAGUCAUAAGAGCUCUACAGUGAUUUAUGAAGAGAAUCAAAGAGGAUUUCUGAGAGGAUGCAGGCAAACCCAAAGGCUACAGCACCACCACACUCCCUCCCCAUAUCUGCAGAGAACAACAACAACAGCAUUUUACAGAUGAAGUUGAAGUCUUCUUUGACCACCAAACUCAGUCCUUUUACCCUUGAAUCUUCCAGAUGCAACGAGGAUGGUGAGUU